rnacentral:rRNA from 1 species
AUUGAACGCUGGCGGCAUGCCUUACACAUGCAAGUCGAACGGCAGCACGGGGGCAACCCUGGUGGCGAGUGGCGAACGGGUGAGUAAUAUAUCGGAACGUGCCCUAGAGUGGGGGAUAACGUAGCGAAAGUUACGCUAAUACCGCAUACGAUCUACGGAUGAAAGUGGGGGAUCGCAAGACCUCAUGCUCGUGGAGCGGCCGAUAUCUGAUUAGCUAGUUGGUAGGGAAAAGCCUACCAAGGCGACGAUCAGUAGCUGGUCUGAGAGGACGACCAGCCACACUGGGACUGAGACACGGCCCAGACUCCUACGGGAGGCAGCAGUGGGGUAAUUUUGGACAAGUGGGGCAACCCUGAUCCAGCCAUGCCGCGUGCGGGAAGAAGG